AUUGAACGCUGGCGGCAUGCCUUACACAUGCAAGUCGAACGGCAGCACGGGGGCAACCCUGGUGGCGAGUGGCGAACGGGUGAGUAAUAUAUCGGAACGUACCCUGGAGUGGGGGAUAACGUAGCAAAAGUUACGCUAAUACCGCAUACGAUCUAAGGAUGAAAGUGGGGGAUCGCAAGACCUCAUGCUCCUGGAGCGGCCGAUAUCUGAUUAGCUAGUUGGUGGGGUAAAGGCCUACCAAGGCAUCGAUCAGUAGCUGGUCUGAGAGGACGACCAGCCACACUGGGACUGAGACACGGCCCAGACUCCUACGGGAGGCAGCAGUGGGGAAUUUUGGACAAUGGGGGGCAACCCUGAUCCAGCAAUGCCGCGUGAGUGAAGAAGG
rnacentral:rRNA from 1 species